rnacentral:rRNA from 1 species
CUAUUUGAGAAUUUGAUCCUGGUUCAGGAUGAACGUUGGCGGUGUGCCUUAAGCAUGCAAGUCGAGCGGUCCAAUGGAUCCCGUAAGGGGCUCAUCGGACAGCGGCGGACGGCUGAGUAACACGUCGGGAUCUACCUCGGAAUGGGGAAUAACCCCGAGAAAUCGGGGCUAAUACCGCAUGUCCAAAGAGCUUAACUGCUCGUUUCGAGAUGAACCGGCGGCCUAUCAGGCAGUUGGUGAGGUAAAAGCUCACCAAACCUAUGACGGGUAGGGGGUGUGAGUGCAUGACCCCCCAGAGUGGAACUGCGACACGGUCCACACAC